AACGAACGCUGGCGGCAGGCUUAACACAUGCAAGUCGAGCGCCCCGCAAGGGGAGCGGCAGACGGGUGAGUAACACGUGGGAAUCUACCCAUCCCUACGGAACAACUCCGGGAAACUGGAGCUAAUACCGUAUACGCCCUUUGGGGGAAAGAUUUAUCGGGGAUGGAUGAGCCCGCGUUGGAUUAGCUAGUUGGUGGGGUAAAGGCCUACCAAGGCGACGAUCCAUAGCUGGGCUGAGAGGAUGAUCAGCCACAUUGGGACUGAGACACGGCCCAAACUCCUCCGGGAGGCAGCAGUGGGGAAUAUUGGACAAUGGGCGCAAGCCUGAUCCAGCCAUGCCGCGUGAAUGAUGAAGGCCGUAGGGUUGUAAAGUUCUUUCACCGAUGAAGAUAAUGACGGUAGUCGGAGAAGAAGCCCCGGCUAACUUCGUGCCAGCCGCCGCGGUAAUAC
rnacentral:rRNA from 1 species